GCGGGUAUAGCUCAGUGGUAGACUGUGAGCUUAGCAUGCAUACGAGGCCCUGGGUUCAAUCCCCAGUACCUCCA
rnacentral:tRNA from 1 species